GCCUCUGUAGCUCAGUUGGUUAGAGCACUGUUCCGGAGCAGCGCUCGUAGGUUUAAUUCCUACCAGACGAC